UCCAGCCGCAGCAGCUGCAACCCGAAGAAGCCAGCUUGGAACAAGAACAACGGUCUGUGUCACCGAGUCGAUCAUCUACAAGCUCAAAGCAGACAUGGGUGCGGGAUUCCUUCUGCUGAUCCUGGCGGCUCUUUGCCUCUCAGCGAAUGUACUGGCGCAGUCAACGGUGAGUGAUUCUACGACUGCUGUACUCUCAACCACCACCGCCAACACAGCCUUCACCACCACAACCUCCUCCUCCACCACAUCCUCCUCCACCACAACCUCCCCCAGCACAAUCACCACCACCACCACACCUGCCGCCUCCAACACCACCUCGACCAACUCAACGGCCUCCACCUCAAUCACCACGGCUCGGCAAACCACCGCCAAGGCACCGGCGAUGGCAACGGGCGGACUCUUUGCGGUGCUCCUCCCAGCAGCGCUCGUCCUGGUGGCGUCGUGGUAGCAAGGGGACGCAUCCAGCCCUGCAGUUGGUGCCAACAACCACCCCAUGCCCCGUAACAACCCACCCCAUGCCCCAUAACAUCCACUCCAUGCCCCGUAACAUCCACCCCAUGCCCCGUAACAUCCACCCCAUGCCUAAUAAUAUUCACCUGCUGACUCAUAACAUCCACCCCGUAACAUUCCAUCCGAAACCACCACCGCCAGCAGCAGCAACACAUGGUUACACAGGGCACAAAGACCCAUCAUCGUUGAAUACUUUUUGCACCCAGGCAAACUGGACGUAAAAAAAAUUCCACACCAAGUUGUGAUUUAAGUUUUAAUAGGUUGCAGAAAUCAAACUUUAGAGGCGCGUUUCUUACAUCUAACAAACGUAUGGCCUGAAAACAUCCCCAAAUGUACAAAACCGAAGCGCUGGUCUUUACCAAGCGCACUUUUUUUGAUGUCUACAAACAACUCGCAAAAAAAAGCAAAAUAACUUGGCAAUUAAAUCCAAUGUACAGGUAAAUGGCAACUGCGACGUUGUACAUGGGCCCUCGGCUUUGUGUCUGGCUUGUAUGCGAUGUCAAAAGCUAAAACUUUGAUGCAUCCAUGUUUUAGUUUUUUUAUUGAUCACACGGAGUUAACAUUUGUGUGUGUGGGGGGGGGGGGAAGUAACGCCGAAUAACAUCAUCGCAUUUACAAGUCGCCAAUCCAGCUCUGAACGUGUUAUAACAACAUUGCGAUACAUCUACAUGAAGAGAUUCAGUAUCCUCAAAUUAAUUAUUCUAUCUUUAAACAAAAAAAACUGGUAUAUUUAUCAUUUGCUGUGGUUUUUAAAUAUUGUGGACACAUUUUAAACACAUGCAUAAUCUUUCCAUAUACGUGUUUCAUACUUUUUUUGAGGGGGGGAAGUGAUAUUUCAGGAACGGCUUGCCAAAUCACCUGUAUCCGGAUAUGAGAAGCAAAUUAAAGAAAUUGCAAUUAAAAACCAUACCGAUUGAUUCACAUUCCAGGGCCACCUUCUCAGUAAAUGAUCUUGGCCGGCAAAUCGCCGACAGCAAGGCAGCCGUGCACGCGUUCCGAAAACAACAUCCGUCGAUUUUGUUACAUGGCGUGUACAUUGAAAACUAUGCACCGUGCGAUGAUCCCGGAGUGAUUUCCUUCUUAAAUUAAGCUAUUUGUGUGAAUCAAUGUUUUUACGUCGAUUUUUAUAGUUAAUAAAAAAUGCAAAUUAA